rnacentral:tRNA from 1 species
UAGCUCAGUUGGUAGAGCAUGGUGUUUGCAAUGCCAGGGUUGUGGGUUCGAUUUCCAC